AAUUCUCAAACCUUCAGUUGUUGUAAUGACGACUUAAGGAUUUGGAUGUGGGGGUUGCUGGCUUUCUAAGUCGGCUCUCCUUAAAUGCAUUAGUGGUUACUGUUCUCCACUUUGGUGUGAUAAUUAUCUACAUCUGCAAGUGGAGAUGUUAAGUGUAGCUGCUCUCUAACGGUCCAAUCUAUUUGGACAAUUUUUGAACU
rnacentral:misc_RNA from 1 species